AAUCAACGCUGGCGGCGUGCCUCAGACAUGCAAGUCGAACGCGAAAGUCCCCUUCGGGGGACAAGUAGAGUGGCGCACGGGUGAGUAACACGUAGGUAAUCUACCUUCGGAUGGGGAAUAACAAUCGGAAACGGUUGCUAAUACCGCAUAAUGCAGCGGCACCUAAUGGUGACAGUUGUUAAAGCGGGGGAUCGAAAGACCUCGCGUCUGAAGAGGAGCCUGCGGCGGAUUAGCAGUUGGUAAGGUAAUGGCUUACCAAGGCGACGAUCCGUAACCGGCCUGAGAGGGCGGUCGGUCACACUGACACUGACAUACGGGUCAGACUCCUACGGGAGGCAGCAGUCGGGAAUUUUGGGCAAUGGGCGAAAGCCUGACCCAGCAACGCCGCGU
rnacentral:rRNA from 1 species